CGCCUUUGGUAAAAUAUCAAAAGGUCCUGCCUGCCCGGUGAUUAUAAAAAUUAAACGGCUGCGGUACUCUGACCGUGCAAAGGUAGCAUAAUCAUUAGCCUGUUAAUUUCAGGCUGGAAUCAAUGGCAAGACGAAGAAAAAGCUGUCUCUUUCUAUUAUUUUAGAAUUUUUCUUUUUGGUGAAGAGACCAAAAUAAAUAAGUGGGACGAGAAGACCCUAUUGAGCUUUAGUUAGUUAAAAGAAAAAAGUUUUUUUAAAUAACUUUGGUUGGGGCAACUGUUUUUAGAAUUAAACAUUAAUAAAAUAAAAAUGAAUUAAAUCUUUAAUAUAUAAAACCCAGAAAUUUUUAUUCUGCACUUAAAAAAAGUUACCUUAGGGAUAACAGCGUAAUUCUUUUUGAGAGUACAUAUUGACAAAAGAGUUUGCGACCUCGAUGUUGGAUCAAGAUUUCCUGGAGGUGUAGUGGUUUCCAAGGGUUGGUUUGUUCAACCAUGAAAAUCUU
rnacentral:rRNA from 1 species